rnacentral:rRNA from 1 species
GACGAACGCUGGCGGCGUGCUUAACACAUGCAAGUCGAACGAAGUGGCGAACGGGUGAGUAACGCGUAAUCAACCUGCCCUUCAGAGGGGGACAACAGUUGGAAACGACUGCUAAUACCGCAUACUGAAGGAGGGGAAUGCGUCUGAUUAGCUAGUUGGAGGGGUACAGGCCCACCAGGGCGAUGAUCAGUGGCCGGUCUGGUACGUGGACCGGCACCAUUGGGACUGAGACACGGCCCAGACUCCUACGGGCGGCAGCAGUUGGGAGUCUUCCGCAAUGGACGAAAGUCUGACGGAGCAACGCCGCGUUAGUGAUGACGGCCUUCGGGUUGUAAAGCUCUGUUAAUCGGGACGCGGUACCGGAAUAGAAAGCCACGGCUAACUACGUGCCAGCAGCCGCGGUAAUUC